rnacentral:misc_RNA from 1 species
GUGAUUAAAUCGAGCGUGUCUUCAUUGACCGCUCACCCUUCUCACCAUCCACAUACACCUGUGCACUGUUUAGCCUGAGUCCGGUUUUCCGGUCCAGGUUAUCAUUUCAUACAAACUCUAGUCUUAUGAAUGUAAACGUUUUAAUAACAUAAUA